rnacentral:rRNA from 1 species
GACGAACGCUGGCGGCGUGCUUAACACAUGCAAGUCGAACGAAAGACGGAAAGAGCUUGCUCUUUUCAGAAUUGAGUGGCAAACGGGUGAGUAACACGUAAACAACCUGCCUUCAGGAUGGGGACAACAGACGGAAACGACUGCUAAUACCGAAUAAGUUCCAAGGGCCGCAUGGCCCAUGGAAGAAAAGGUGGCCUCUACCUGUAAGCUAUCGCCUGAAGAGGGGUUUGCGUCUGAUUAGCUGGUUGGAGGGGUAACGGCCCACCAAGGCGACGAUCAGUAGCCGGUCUGAGAGGAUGAACGGCCACACUGGAACUGAGACACGGUCCAGACUCCUACGGGAGGCAGCAGUGGGGAAUCUUCCGCAAUGGGCGAAAGCCUGACGGAGCAACGCCGCGUGAGUGAUGACGGCCUUCGGGUUGUAAAACUCUGUGAUCCGGGACGAAAAGGCAGAGUGCGAAGAACAAACUGCAUUGACGGUACCGGAAAAGCAAGCCACGCUAACUAC